rnacentral:lncRNA from 1 species
GUUUUCGUUUGUGUUUUUUUUCAGCUGUAUGAAAUGGGCUUUCUGAUGUUUAAAUAGUCCAACUUCACCCCUGGUGUUCUGUGCUUGCAGUGUGAGUGUUGCAGCCAGUGUCUCUUUUCUUAGCUUUCCGUUUUCCUUUCCACGUAGUGUGAAGUGUCUUAUCCUUUUCUAUGAAUUCCAAUUUGCCUUAACUCUUUUGAUGCUGUAGCUGUUUCAGUAAAAGUUAGUUCAAACUAAUGAUGUAGAAUGCUUUGACCAAAUGGGCUGGUCUAUUAUGCCUUGUUAAACAGCAGCAUAGGGCUUUUAAAAGGUAGUCAAUAAAAGUUGCUGAAAUUUUGGCUUUUUUAAAUAUGUAGUAGGUGUUUUUAAUGAUUUUUCACAUAAUGUGUAAGGUAGUGAAAUGCAAGAAGGGAAAACUGUUUUGUGUGAAACACAUUUUCUGACUGGGGAACUUUUAAUAGGGUAAAUUGUUUGUAAGGCUGUAUGCCAAGAGUUUCCUCUGAUAGUUUGACUGAUUUAGGAUAUCUGCUGUAUGAUGCAAUGUAAAGUCUUUUUUGCCUUUUUUCAGGAAAAAAAAAAACAACUAACUUGAUGUUCUAGAUUUAGUGUAGGUAGCGUAGGGGCAGGGGGUGGGGGGAGGGGUGGGAGUCACCGAAUGUUUUGUCCUUCCUUUAUACUAACGAUAGUGCUUUAGAAUGAGAAUGACGCCUGAGAUCUGGCAAACCGAAAAAAAACACAAAUGUUGCUAUUGCAACGAAAUGGCAAAAGCUAAAAGUAAGGAUUUAUCUUCAAACAUAAGCUGAGAUAUGAAUAGAAGCGAAACGAUUGGCUACUAGCUCUCUCUAUCACGUAAAUUUGAGAAACAAAAAUUACUUGGCACUUUUAAAGGUAACUUCACCAAAGACCGAAGAGCCAGUAACCAGUAGCUCCAGCUUGUCUCAGCAUCACAUCUUCUGUGCUCUUUAUUUUUGCCGGACCAGUUUGCGGUUAGGAGAAUGUGCCUUUUUUGUACCUUUGGAUUUAGGUUUUAUAAUUUUAAUUGAUGUAUGGACACACACAAACAAAAAAGCAUGAAGGAAGAUUUGGAUCCAAGCAGUGCCACACUUUACAUAAUCACUACAAGUGUUAAGUGUAAAGAAAAACCAAUUUUGAAACUAUGAAAUUCCUGAUUCAUAAAUACACAGUUAUUUCUACUUUAGUACAUAUAAGAUAAUUCACUGUUAUUAAAGCUCUUUUAUUAAGACAAUUGCAUACGUUUGAAAAGCAAUGGUAAAUUAAGUUGUCUUCCAAAACUGUGUACUUGUCUGGUCAACUGUGUGUGAUCAGUUAUCUACCUCAGAGUCUAUUUUCUUUUGUGCUGGGACAGGUUGCUGGCCCUCCCUGUUUCCACAGACCAAAUCCUUCCUAGCUCAGGAGCUAGGCCUAAGCAGUUAUUUCUUUCGAGUAUUUUUUAGUUCUUAAAAUUUAUGCUUGUGUUUGAUUAUAGAUGUCAGUGAUAUUUCAUAGUUUCAAAAGUCCUUGCUGCUCUGAGAAGUGUAGAUUCUAGUGAAAAUUACAUAGUCAUAAGAGAAGUGUGUUUUUGUUUUUGUUUUUGUUUCCUUUUUUAAAGUUGUGGUAUUAUUGGUUCUAUGCUCCCUGGAAUAUUACUGCUUUGUGAAAGUCCAGACUGAACGCAGCACCCUCUUUGUACCUAGUACAUUGUAAACCUGGGUCUCUCACUACUUGAUAUUUUUGCAUUAGUUAAGACAGAAAUUUGAUAACUCAGUUAGAGGGGAGGGGAAAUCUGCUGCUAGAAAUGUCUGAACUAAGUGCCAUACUCGUCUGGGUAAGAUUUGGGAAACAUAACCUCUGUACAUAAAAAAAGAAAAAAAAUCAGUUAAACAUCACAUAGUAGACAGCCAUUAAAUUAUAAAAAAAAUUAAUUUAUGAAGAAAGACCUUUUGUACAGAUUGAAAAAAAAAAGAUUUUCAUAGAGAUAUCUAUAUGAUCAAGAGAGUUAAUUUUUUAUUUUUGUUUUACUAGUGCCACAAACUUGCCAGUGGUAACUUAUUUGUCCGGUUCAAGAUAACUCUGUAGUUUUCUUUCCUAGGACUUGUUGUUAAACGCCAAAAAGACAUUUUUGAACUGUACAUUUGAUCAGAUUGUUAGCUUUUUCUGUUUUAUUUCUUUUGAGAACCUUUGAAUAAAAAACAUCUGAAAUUUU